GAUGAAGAACGUAGCGAAAUGCGAUAAGUAAUGCGAAUUGCAGAAUCCGUGAGUCAUCGAAUCUUUGAACGCACAUUGCGCCCUCUGGUAUUCCGGGGGGCAUGCCUGUCCGAGCGUCAUUGCUGCCCUCAAGCACGGCUUGUGUGUUGGGCCUCCGUCCUCCUCCCGGGGGACGGGCCCGAAAGGCAGCGGCGGCACCGCGUCCGGUCCUCGAGCGUAUGGGGCUUCGUCACCCGCUCUUGUAGGCCCGGCCGGCGCUUGCCGACACAUCAAUCUUUUUUCCAGGUUGACCUCGGAUCAGGUAGGGAUACCCGCUGAACUUAAGCAUAUCAAUAAGCGGAGGA
rnacentral:misc_RNA from 1 species